rnacentral:rRNA from 1 species
AUUGAACGCUGGCGGCAGGCCUAACACAUGCAAGUCGAGCGAGCGGCGGACGGGUGAGUAAUGCCUGGGAAUUGCCCAGUCGGGGGGGAUACCAGUUGCAAAAGACUGCUAAUCACGCCUACGAUUGUACCGCCCAGGUGGGAUUAGCGAGUUGGUGAGCGACGGUCUCACCAAGGCGACGCUCCCUAGCUGGUCUGAGAGGAUGAGCAGCCACACUGUAACUGAGACACGGGCCAGACUCCUACGGGAGGCAGCAGUGGGGAAUAGUGCACAAUGGGGGAAAGCCUGAUGCAGCCAUGCCGCGUGUGUGAAGAAGGCCUUCGGGUUGUAAAGCACUUUCAGCGAGGAGGCGUUACUCGCAGAAGAAGCACCGGCUAACUCCGUGCCAGCAGCCGCGGUAAUAC